rnacentral:rRNA from 1 species
UACAGAGGUGGCAAGCGUUGCUCGGUAUCACUGGGCUUAAAGGGCGCGUAGGCGGUGCAGUACGGUUUCGGCGAAAUCCCUCGGCCCAACCGAGGAACAGCCGGAGCUACGGCCGUGCUAGACGGCAUCAGGGGACAGUGGAACUCCCGGUGGAGCGGUGAAAUGCGUAGAUAUCGGGAGGAACGCCGGUGGCGAAAGCGACUGUCUGGGGUGCCUGUGACGCUGAGGCGCGAAAGCCAGGGGAUCAAACGGG